rfam:Trichuris trichiura, WGS project CBXK01000000 data, contig: TTRE_265
GGGUUAGUGGUCUAGUGGUAUGAUUCUCGCUUAGGGUGCGAGAGGUCCGGGGUUCAAUUCCCCGCUAACCCC